CGGAAGGCCGUUUUUACAGAGGAAUUGACGAGGGUUCAGUCCUGCAUAACAAAUAUGUAGUAAAAGGUGAAGUAAUUCUGGCACUUCAGGGAAAACAACCGAGUGAAAGUAUUUUGUUAAAUUUCUAACAUUUCAACUUUCAGGUAGAAGUCAGAAUUUUGGAAACAUUGUAUCAGCUGUCAGGCACUUAAGUUUUCCAAUAUGCAUAGACUUUUCUAGUGAUAUGGAUAGUGAUGUUAGAGAAGGCGAUUUAUGGAUGUUUGAAGAAACAUGUCAACAAUUGGGAGAUCUAACUCUUAACCAGUAUUUUACAAUGCACACGAUAUUUCACUCGUUACAAAUCACACAUGGAUGAAAUAUCCCAUCAAAGUCACAGUAGACCAGUGAACUUUAAUGACUAACGGACUGUGAAAAAAAGCAUCAGAAUAGAUUCACAUAAGGAACUAGAGCUUACCAAAUUUUUCGUGAUAUCCACGAUCCACACUUGGAGAAUGAGCCCAGGACCUUCACACUGAGACAGGGUCUUAGCUAAGUUGCCAAACUGCCCAGGCUGGGCUCAAAGUUUCAGUCCUCCUCCCUCCACUUCCCAGAGUGCUAAGACGACAGGCGUGGGCCACCAUGCCCAGCAGGAUAUCCACAGCUCUUCAAAAGCCUAUUGAAACAGCCCUCUCAGGGCCGGGGGAUUUAGCUCAGUGGUUUCGCCGCCUGCUGCGAAAGCACAAAGACCCAAGUUCCGAUCCUGGUACCAAAAAAAAACAAAAACAAAAAAACCCAGCCUCUCGCCUGCAAUUAUGUGGUGAAGCUGGAUUUUCUUCACACACUUCACAGCAACCUCUCACAAGAACUUCACCAUGAGAAUCCAGCUGUUCCCAAGCCAGACAUGAAAGAGACUGAAUUUAAAAUUAAAACUAUUUUUGAGAUACAGAGGUGUUCGAUGCUCCUGCCUCAGCCUCCCAAAUGCUGGGAUCACAGGCAUGGCCAACCACACCCGGCUCACCAUUGUUUCUCACGUGGGGGCCCACUGAAUUUCUUGGACCAGUGUGUGCAGUUUCUACCACAUUCUGAAAUGUUUCAACAUCACUUCUCCAGCCAGCUUUUCUAGCCUUCAUUCCCCCAUGGGAACUCCAGUUACAGGGCUAUCAGGCCUUCUGAAUUUGACUCAAAAUAACUGAUGGGCUUUCAGUUUUUCUCUGUCAUGUUACUCACUUUAACUUUUUAAAGACAGGGUUUCGCUAUGUAGUUAAGGCUGCUCUUGAAUACACUACGUUGCCCAGGCAGGUCUUGAACUCAUGGUGAUCCUCCUGCCUCAGCCUCCCAAGUUCUAGGAUCACAGGCGUGUUCCACCACACCUGGCUUCAGAUGAUUUCUGUUGCUUCGGGUGAGUUCAGUUUUCUGUAGUGUUCAGUGCAGCAUUAAUCCCACAGAGUGCAUUUCCCUUGUG
ensembl:lncRNA